rnacentral:lncRNA from 1 species
AGGUUUUUUCUUCAUUUGAAUGCUAUUGGAAAGCUUACGUCCUCAAAUUGGAAAUCGCCUCUACUCGUGUCACUUUCCUCGAUAGUUGCCAUAAGAUCGAUCUUGCUUUUGUAGAUCCCCGUCUUUAUGGAAUUUUUCUUGCACAAACACAAGGCAGUUUCUACUCUGCAAUUUAACAAGGGGGGUAGUACUGUGACGAGAAAUAUCAUGCAGUUACCUUCGCAUUGUCUAAGUGUUUAACAGCUUCCUCUUGUGAAGAAAAAUUCAUGAAUAACUGAAUACAGCACAGUCCAGCAACGUCAUGAUCAUCCUUCUUGAUUUACCUGAACCAAAGGGAACCACAGGCCUGUUUGAAAGGUGAUUGAAUCAAAAUCAUAAAGUCAACAAUAUAUCACCAAACCCUUGAAAUAGUCCAAAGCUAUGGCAUAGUACGUACUGCUGGCUCGAAUUUCUCCCCGGUGCAUCAAUAUGCUGAUGCGAAGUUGACAAUAUGGCAAAGAAAUUAAGGGUUUCUACUUUUGAAAGGAGUGAAGCCUCCUCCUGUUUCUCCAACUGGGCCACCACUUUUUUUUCAUGUUCUGUUUUUCAGGUGCUAUACAUCACUUUCUGAAGGUACUUUCAUGUCAGGUUUAGGUUACCUCAUGUUCUCUUACUGAGCAACUGUUUUUGUCAACGACAAUAAUGAGAAAGAAAAAAAAAUCUGACAGCAUGAACAGAGAUGUUGAAAUGUAGAAUCAUGUUGAAAACUAAG